UACGUAGGAGGCAAGCGUUGUCCGGAAUUACUGGGCGUAAAGCGCGUGUAGGCGGUCUGAAUAGUCUGCUGUGAAAGCGCCUGGCUUAACCGGGCGAGGUCGGCGGAAACUCUCAGACUGGAGGCCGGUAGAGGGGGGUGGAAUUCCCGGUGUAGUGGUGAAAUGCGUAGAGAUCGGGAGGAACACCUGUGGCGAAGGCGGCCCCCCUGGGCCGCGCCUGACGCUGAGACGCGAAGGCUAGGGGAGCGAACGGG
rnacentral:rRNA from 1 species